rnacentral:tmRNA from 1 species
GGGGGCGAUCGGAUUCGACUGGUUCUCCGCGGGUCGGGGUGGCGUGCCGAGGUUGAUCAGCAGGCCUCGUAACAAGCUGAUCACACCAUAACUGCCAAACCGCAGUUUGCUUUGGCUGCGUAGGUAACCCCUACGCUGCUCGGGCUUAGGGAUCCUGCCUGUGGAGCCCAACCAGCCCGUCGCCAAAUACAGGCUGGCCUCUCUUCAUAGCCCGCCACGGGAGAGGCGAGAUUCGUCGUGGGCUGGCCGUAACGGGUUUUGUUCGCUGCACCUUGUUACGGUGAGAUUAAACAACGAACUACGCACGUAGAAGCUUCGGCUUAGGGCUCACAGGACGCGGGUUCAAUUCCCGCCGCCUCCAC